rnacentral:rRNA from 1 species
AUUGAACGCUGGCGGCAUGCCUUACACAUGCAAGUCGAACGGUAACAGGUUAAGCUGACGAGUGGCGAACGGGUGAGUAAUAUAUCGGAACGUGCCCAGUCGUGGGGGAUAACUGCUCGAAAGAGCAGCUAAUACCGCAUACGACCUGAGGGUGAAAACGGGGGAUCGCAAGACCUCGAGCGAUUGGAGCGGCCGAUAUCAGAUUAGGUAGUUGGUGGGGUAAGAGCCCACCAAGCCAACGAUCUGUGGCUGGUCUGAGAGGACGACCAGCCACACUGGGACUGAGACACGGCCCAGACUCCUACGGGAGGCAGCAGUGGGGAAUUUUGGACAAUGGGCGCAAGCCUGAUCCAGCCAUGCCGCGUGCGGGAAGAAGGCCUUCGGGUUGUAAACCGCUUUUGUCAGGGAAGAAAAGGUUCUGGUUAAUACCUGGGACUCAUGACGGUACCUGAAGAAUAAGCACCGGCUAACUACGUGCCAGCCGCCGCCGUAA